CCUACGGGGGGCUGCAGUGAGGAAUAUUGGUCAAUGGCCGGGAGGCUGAACCAGCCAAGCCGCGUGAGGGAAGAAGGCCCUACGGGUUGUAAACUUCUUUUGUCAGGGAGCAAGGUGCAGGUCGGGACCUGCUGUGAGAGUACCUGAAGAAAAAGCAUCGGCUAACUCCGUGCCAGCAGCCGCGGUAAUACGGAGGAUGCGAGCGUUAUCCGGAUUUAUUGGGGUUAAAGGGUGCGCAGGCGGAGGCACAAGUCAGCGGUAAAAUCGCGGGGCUCAACCCCGCUGCGCCGUUGAAACUGUGUGCCUUGAGUGCGCGAAGGGUAGGCGGAAUGCGAGGUGUAGCGGUGAAAUGCAUAGAUAUCACGCAGAACUCCGAUCGCGAAGGCAGCCUACCGGCGCGCAACUGACGCUGAUGCACGAAAGCGUGGGUAUCGAACAGGAUUAGAUACCCUGGUAGUC
rnacentral:rRNA from 1 species